rnacentral:rRNA from 1 species
AACGAACGCUGGCGGCAGGCCUAACACAUGCAAGUCGAACGCUGUAGCAAUACAGAGUGGCAGACGGGUGAGUAACACGUGGGAAUCUUCCUAUCGGUACGGAAUAGCUCAGGGAAACUUGGGGUAAUACCGCAUACGCCCUUCGGGGGAAAGAUCUAUCGCCGAUAGAUGAGCCCGCGUCUGAUUAGCUAGUUGGUGAGGUAAUGGCUCACCAAGGCGACGAUCAGUAGCUGGUCUGAGAGGAUGACCAGCCACACUGGGACUGAGACACGGCCCAGACUCCUACGGGAGGCAGCAGUGGGGAAUAUUGGACAAUGGGCGCAAGCCUGAUCCAGCCAUGCCGCGUGAGUAACGAAGGUCUUCGGAUUGUAAAGCUCUUUUGGCGGGGGCGAUAAUGACGGUACCCGCAGAAUAAGCCCCGGCUAACUUCGUGCCAGCAGCCGCCGUAAGAC